UCUCCUUAUGCACCCCAGAGA
rnacentral:miRNA from 1 species